rnacentral:lncRNA from 1 species
GGCACACAUUUGCUUAUUUUCAUUUUCAUUUUUCCUUAAUUACUUAACAGCUCAGCGUGAUAUGCAAUAUUUCAGAUGGAAUGCAAAUAAUCAAAAUAUGAAUGAAAUCAUGUGAACUUUAUUUAGUGAAGAACACAGAGUGCAAUAAGCUUUAAAGAUAAUAUCAACAUUCCCUUAAUAGCAACCACUAUCACGGAAUCAUCAUGCGUAAAACUUUUUUACCGCAUCANAAUUAACUGGNAAUGGUAACUCCUCCCCAUCCAUUCUUGUGAGAAUUAGUGCCCUACCAGAAAAUGCUUUCUUCACCACAAAUGGCCCUUCAUAAUUUGGGGUCCAUUUGCCCCUGUGAUCCUUUUGUAUAGGUAAAAUCUUCUUCAACACCAGCUCACCUUCAUGAAAUUCUCUUGGACGUACCNUUUUAUCAAAUGCCUUCUUCAUUCUUCUUUGGUACAAUUGUCCAUGGCAUACUGCU